rnacentral:rRNA from 1 species
CCUACGGGAGGCAGCAGUGAGGAAUAUUGGUCAAUGGACGAGAGUCUGAACCAGCCAAGUAGCGUGAAGGAUGACUGCCCUAUGGGUUGUAAACUUCUUUUAUCUGGGAAUAAAACAGGGUAUGCAUACCCUCUUGUAUGUACCAUAUGAAUAAGGAUCGGCUAACUCCGUGCCAGCAGCCGCGGUAAUACGGAGGAUCCGAGCGUUAUCCGGAUUUCUUGGGUUUAAAGGGAGCGUAGGUGGAUUGUUAAGUCAGUUGUGAAAGUUUGCGGCUCAACCGUAAAAUUGCAGUUGAAACUGGCAGUCUUGAGUACAGUAGAGGUGAGCGGAAUGCGUGGUGUAGCGGUGAAAGGCUUAGAUAUCACGAAGAACUCCGAUUGCGAAGGCAGCUCACUGGACUGCAACUGACACUGAGGCUCGAAAGUGCGGGUAUCAAACAGGAUUAGAUACCCCUGUAGUC